AGGACAAAACCACCAAAGAGGAAGAGAUGGCGAAAAUCACCACCACCCUCCACUUCCUUCAGUUUCAUCCUCUUUGACUACCACCACCACCACCCUCUUCUUCGUCUUCCUUUCUUUUCGUUUCUUAUACCCUGUAUACCUACGUUUACUGUAACCCUAAAUACCAAAUUAGCUAACUUUGAUUAUAGCUUCGAUUUCAUUAUCUUCCCAAUUUCGAUUUUAAAUCCACAUAGAAACAUAAUUUCACUUUAGGUUAGCAACAAAUUUAUUGAUGGAUCAACGUCGUAGCGCAUGACUUGGUGUUUUGAAUUGAUUUCUAACCUCCAACCCUAAAUACCAAAUUCGAUGGAUCAACGUAGAAGCCCAAGACUAUUGGAGCUAGCUCGAAUUCGAGUGCAAGCCGAGAGUGGUUGCGGACAAAAAAAAACUGUUGCGGAAUGCUCAGUAUAAAGCGAAACAAGAGAAAAUGACUUUCCAUGAAAGAUAAGCAUUGAAGGAAAGAUGUCGUUUUGCUUAUCUCAAACGAAUUGAAGCCAGUACAAAUUGAAAAAUCUUUUGGACAAGCUGGACACAUGUGAACUGAAUGCUCAUCUCAAAGAACCAUGCUAUGGUUGUGCCUCACAACCGUGGUUGAUGGAAGUUAAAUAUCACAACCGAAUGAGGUGAUCUUGACUGGAAAAAUGGCGUUUGUGAACGUGCUAACCAACGAGUUGCGCAAUUAUUUUGUAAUUCCCACCCUGCCCAAACGUUAAGUUGAUUGAGAAAAUAGUUUAAAGGUAACUACCAUUUUGUAAUUUUAAGAAAUAGAGUUUUUAUAGAUACCUGUUACAAUGAAGAUGCGGGUCAAACAAAUCAAAAGUUAAAAGAAAUGAAUAAGGUUACAAUAGCUUUUAGAGAUCGCUAUUUAUGUCUUGCACAGAAUGUACUGGAUGGACUGCAAAAGGGAAACGUCAAUUGAAGGAUUUGAUGGCAAACAAAGAAGAUCUUGACCCCUGAAGUGCAUGUGGACAUUUUUCUUCUUCGUUCACAUUAAACGUUAUAUGAAUUUUUUUGGUCAAUUUAUUGUCUUAAUUUCCUUUUAAAUUAUUCAGAACUUGAAUGUGUCUUUUACUAUUGAACUGAAUAACAGAUGUUGCAGGUGCAGAUUGCAGGGUGGCUACAUGAUCGCAUAGUAGUACAUGUGGUCAAGGGAGAGAAUGAUUUUUCUAUUCAUCUAAUUGGUGCCUUGGAUUUUUGUCAUUCUUUCAACAACAUAAACAAUGGAGACUCUGAAUCAGAGCUUUAGAAUCAUCGAGCAAACUUGACUUCGGCAGUGGAUUGAUACCACAACGGAUGGCAGUCAACAAUACUUGCUCGACUUUGACAGUUGAUUGAUGCCACAACGGAUGGCAGUUAAACAUUCAAUCUCCUUAAUUUGAAGCCGGAGAAUUGUUUAUGUAAAUGACUACUUUGAAUUGAGAGGUUUUGAAUGAAAAGUUUGAUUGGUAGAUCUAUCAGCCUGGAACAUGUAAAUUCAAUGAAAUUGUGUUUUUUUAGAA